rnacentral:rRNA from 1 species
UCGGGAAUUUUGCGCAAUGGACGAAAGUCUGACGCAGCAAACGCCGCGUGAGGGAUGAAGGCCUUCGGGUUGUAAACCUCUUUUCUCAGGGACGAUAAUGACGGUACCUGAGGAAUAAGCCACGGCUAACUACGUGCCAGCAGCCGUCGGUAAAUUACGUAGGUGGCGAGCGUUGUCCGGAUUUACUGGGCGUAAAGAGCGCGCAGGCGGUCGUACAAGUCGCGUGUGAAAGCCCCCGGCUCAACUGGGGAGGGUCACGCGAUACUGUUCGACUCGAAGGCAGGAGAGGGAAGUGGAAAUUCCCGGUGUAGUGGUGAAAUGCGUAGAUAUCGGGAGGAACACCAGUGGCGAAGGCGACUUCCUGGGCCUGUUCUUGACGCUGAGGCGCGAAAGCUAGGGUAGCAAACGGGAUUAGAUACCCCGGUAGGUCCUAGCCGUAAACGAUGGACA